UUCAGUUCGAGACCCUGAUCUAGACGCUUAAGGCAAGUUAAAAACUUUGAACUGACAUACGCAAAGGAAGACGUGUGGCAGAAGACAAAACUGCAAAUCCCACUGAACCGCCAUUUUCCAUAUUAAAGGCGACUCUAACAACCCUAAACAGAGAUAUGAUGGAGGGUUUAGAAGACUAUUCAUGUGUUUGAAUGGUCUCGUCAAAGUCCAGUUUUAAGCCCAAUAGGAAUCUGUGCCAAGAUUUAAAAACUAAUUAUUUACUACUAAAUACUACUUAGGCUAAAUACUAAAUAUUUCAGUCUGUGUGCAAUUUGUGAAACGGUCUACUGUGCUGCAUACAAAUGCAUCCCACAUUUUCCAAGUUUUAUUUGUUAAAAGUUUGGAAAACCUUUUAUCCUUUUUUUCCCCACUUCACAAUGAGGUCCAUAGUUUUUUAUCUGUCACAUAAAAUCCUUGUAAAAUAGACUGAAGUUUGUGGAUCUUAAUGACAAAAUGUGAAAGAGUUUAAAGGGUGGGAAGAGUUUUGCCAGGAAAGGUUCUGGUGAAGCUUUGGAUUUGCUUUUUAGGUUUUAAUCCAGGGUGGGCCAUAAAUUUCCAUACAUAGAAAAAAUAAAACAGUUUAUAUUCAACAACUGUUUUUAUUUUUGUGGGACUCUGUGUAAUCGCUGCCCGUCUUGGACCACUUCGUGGUUGAUCUGCAACAUUUCCAGUUUUCUGAAACUUGCAAAUAAGUUUUGCCACAGUGUCGUGUCUGCGUGUGUGUGUGUGUCUGUGU